AUAAGCAAUCCACCCAGCAAAGCUGACACACAUAAGAUAAAGAUUUCACCCAGCACGUCUGGCACAUUGUAAACAAGAAGGGUGAAAGCAGAAGUAGCUAAGAACGUUCCCUUUAGGAUGUUUCUCUAAAGACAUCGUAUAUUCCCAGGUGGGUUAGGAUAUUGGAUGUUUUCCUUGCUGUCCUUUCAUGACCCUGCAUCCCCGACUCUGCAGGUGCCCAAAGACAGCAGGGCCAUCUGCACAUAUUCACAAUUGAUACUUCCUAUGCUGUCUCCUAAUUCCGGGUCAAAAGUCCUCUGGUUGGCGUGCAUGGUCGCUGGGAGCCGCAGGAAGACAGUACGCGCAGUUUUCGGGAGGCCCGUUUGCAAAGCCACGGGUAGCGGAGAGAUGAGCUAAUGCUGGGCUGGGAGGCUCAGCUGGAGCUCUGCAGAUUCAGCGCGCGAAUCUGGAAUUCCGGCAGCCUCCGCUUUAGCCGGCAGCACCACAGAACCCUUGGAGUGGAGCUGCCUGAGCUCCGCUGAGGCCCCCAGGAUCGGCAUGGGGAGCUGCAACUGAUCGGCGCUGCCCAGGAAAUAAUUAUGUCAAGAAAAAGAAUGCAGGAUAUUUCAAGAACAAUGGACUUAGAUUACUUUUUCAUACAGUACAAGGAAAAGGCUUUUUGUCUGAUUUGCCAGAAUUCAGUGUCUGUCUUCAAGGAAUACAUUUUGCAUCAACACUACAAAACUCAACAUAAAGAUAAAUAUGAUUGUUUGGGCGGACAGAUGAAAAAAGAUAAAAUAUUAAAACUGAAAAAUGGAUUGAAAACUCAGGAAAAUACUUUUGUGAAGCAGAAGCAGCUAUUUCAUCACUGCAAGCAAGUUUUCAAGUUACCAAGCUAAUACUGGCAGUGUACUGGCAGACCAGGGAUAAUUUGUUAAAGAAUGCCUUCUUUCUGUUGCUAAAGAGAUGUGUCCAGAGAAGGCUGAUUUAAUACAGUGAGUCUUUCAGGACCUACAAUUAUAGGAAGAAUUGAAGAAAUGGGCAAUUUGCAUCAGCAGUUGCAAAACUCCUCCCAAAAACUUUGCUAUUUUUCAUUGGGCUCGACAAAAGCAAUGAUGUUCGUGAUUCUGCACAACUUCUAAUUUUCAUUUGCGGGACCAAUGAUUAUUUCAAAAUCGCAGAGGAGCUGGCUGCACUGAAAAGCAUCAGAGGACAAACAACAGGAGAGGAUAUCUAUGAAAUGAUUCGCCAAGUUGUAAAUGAUUUAAAGCUGGACUGGGAUAAACUAGCCAGUGUGACAACUGAUGGUGCUCCUAGCAUGGUGGGGUCUACGAAAGGAGUGGUUGCACGCAUUAACCAAGAGAUGGACAAACAUAACCAUUCGCAUCCAGUAGCCAUUACACUGCCUCAUCCACCAACAGGCACUAUGUUGUAAAUCACCGAAGUGGGACUCCGUCAUGAAAAUUGUGGUUAUCUUGUGUUAACUUCAUUAGAGCUCAUGCACUAAACCAGGGCUUUUCAACCAGUGGUACGGGUACCACCUGUGGUACAUUGGGACCUGGCAGGUGGUAUGUGACCAUCCUAGAAAAGUGGUAGCGGGGGAGGGGAAUAAGCUAAACCGGUGGC